rnacentral:rRNA from 1 species
GACGAACGCUGGCGGCGUGCUUAACACAUGCAAGUCGAACGGAAAGGCCCCUUUGGGGGUACUCGAGUGGCGAACGGGUGAGUAACACGUGAGUAACCUGCCCUUGACUUCGGGAUAACUUCAGGAAACUGGGGCUAAUACCGGAUAGGAAUCCUUGCUGCAUGGUGGGGGUUGGAAAGCUUCGGCGGUUUUGGAUGGACUCGCGGCUUAUCAGCUUGUUGGUGGGGUGGUGGCUUACCAAGGCUUUGACGGGUAGCCGGCCUGGGAGGGCGACCGGCCACAGUGGGACUGAGAUACGGCCCAGACUCCUACGGGAGGCAGCAGUGGGGAAUAUUGCACAAUGGGCGGAAGCCUGAUGCAGCAACGCCGCGUGCGGGAUGACGGCCUUCGGGUUGUAAACCGCUUUCAGCAGGGGCGAAGCUUGUGGUGACGGUACCUGCAGAAGAAGCACCGGCUAACUACGUG